GGAGGAGUUGCACUGUUUGUGUGGGAGAGUUUUCAUAUUGUGACUGUAUGUGAUUGGAUACUGUACAAAUGUCUCAGUCUUCCACAAGGUCCCUAUGGGAGUGUCCCUUGCUGGAAGACCUGCAUAAAAGGGCGAUAUGAGGCCACCAUUAAACAGAUCACGCUUGACCCUCAACACAGAGCCUCGUCUCGUGCUUGGGGGAAUAUUUCGUAUGAUUCUUGUUUGGUGCUUAGGAGUGUUCGGUAGCUAACUUCUUAU